rnacentral:rRNA from 1 species
UAGGGAAUCUUCCGCAAUGGACGAACGUCUGACGGAGCAACGCCGCGUGAGUGAAGAAGGAUUUCGGUUCGUAAAACUCUGUUGUUAGGGAAGAAAAAAUGUAUAGUAACUAUAUACAAAAGAGACGGUACCUAACCAGAAAGCCACGGCUAACUACGUGCCAGCAGCCGCGGUAAUACGUAGGUGGCAAGCGUUGUCCGGAAUUAUUGGGCGUAAAGCGCGCGCAGGUGGUUUAGAAAGUCUGAUGUGAAAGCCCACGGCUCAACCGUGGAGAGUCGUUGGAAACUAAUAAACUUGAGUGCAGGAGAGAAAAGUGGAAUUCCUAGGGUAGCGGUGGAAUGCGUAGAGAUUAGGAGGAACAACGGUGGCGAGAGCGGCUUUUUGGCCUGCAACUGAAGCUGAGGCGCGAAAGCGUGGGGAGCAAACAGG